GGAAGUGUCGCAUAGUGGCCAAUUGCACACGCUUGGAAAGCGUGAGCCUUCGGGCUUCGUGGGUUCGAAUCCCUCCACUUCCGCCA
rnacentral:tRNA from 1 species